rnacentral:tRNA from 1 species
AGGACUGUGGUUUAGUGGAGGAGCCUCUGUUUCACAUGCAGAAGGUCCCAGGUUCAAUCCCUUGUAUUUCCA